UACGUAGGGUGCGAGCGUUGUCCGGAAUUAUUGGGCGUAAAGAGCUUGUAGGCGGUUUGUCGCGUCUGCUGUGAAAAUCCGGGGCUCAACCCCGGACUUGCAGUGGGUACGGGCAGGCUAGAGUGUGGUAGGGGAGACUGGAAUUCCUGGUGUAGCGGUGGAAUGCGCAGAUAUCAGGAGGAACACCGGUGGCGAAGGCGGGUCUCUGGGCCGAAAUUGACGCUGAGGAGCGAAAGCGUGGGGAGCAAACAGG
rnacentral:rRNA from 1 species